UUCUUAAAUAGCCUAAGGGAUUCUUGCUC
rnacentral:piRNA from 1 species